GCUUCAUGUGUGUGUGAUUCAAGUGCCUGAUGGAGAAAUUCUAACACCAGACCCCCCUGGCCCCAGUGGACCGCCUGGCAUCCCUUGCCAACCUGGCCCCAUUGGACCGCCUGGCAUCCCAGGCCAUCCUGGCAUCAGAGGACCACCUGGCAUUGGCAUCGCUGGCCUCCCUGGCCGACCUGGCAUGAGAGGACCACCUGGCUUCCCUGGCCCCUCUGGACCUCCUGGCCCCUCAGGACGGCCGGGCAUGACUGGAUCACCUGGCCAUGAUGGUCCUUCUGGUCCCCCAGGAAUCUGCACCCAUUCUGAAGGAGAAAAAUAUGGACUGACAUUCAUUGCCAUGGCAGGGUGUGUUGUCGCUAUCCUGGAUGCUGCUGCCUUGAUUGCUGUUGUUAGUUUUCUGAUAAGGAAUGAGAGAAACACAACAGUGAGAGGCUCAGGAGUGCAUUCCCAGAGGCCUGAUAUGGACCCUCCUCAUGAUACAUACACAGCUCUGAAUCUCAGAACAAGAUCACAUGAUUAUGAGAAUCUUGAACAUUUCAGGAAUCCAUCAAGUGCAUGUGCCCGAAACCAUCGAUGAAUACUGAAGCCUCUGCAAACUCCAGCUGAUGUUGAACUUGCAUAACUCCAUACACCGUCAGAUGGCAACCAACAAGGGCCAGUGUUUUACUCUGGGGGUUGAUGGGCACAGAUCAUUAGGACAGAUUAUAUAAGUGAGAUUACUUAAGUAAGAACAAGUA
rnacentral:lncRNA from 1 species